GAGAGGAACCUGGGGUGCACUGCUUUCCCUGAGCCAGUAGCGUGCUGAGCAGGACCUAGGGGACGGCAGAGUGAGACUGGGCCUAGG